rnacentral:rRNA from 1 species
GACGAACGCUGGCGGCGUGCCUAACACAUGCAAGUCGAACGGAACUGUUUUGAAAGAUUUCUUCGGAAUGAAUUUGAUUUAGUUUAGUGGCGGACGGGUGAGUAACGCGUGAGUAACCUGCCUUCAAGAGGGGGAUAACAUUCUGAAAAGAAUGCUAAUACCGCAUGACAUAUCGGAACCACAUGGUUUUGAUAUCAAAGAUUUUAUCGCUUGAAGAUGGACUCGCGUCCGAUUAGUUAGUUGGUGAGGUAACGGCUCACCAAGACCGCGAUCGGUAGCCGGACUGAGAGGUUGAACGGCCACAUUGGGACUGAGACACGGCCCAGACUCCUACGGGAGGCAGCAGUGGGGGAUAUUGCGCAAUGGGGGCAACCCUGACGCAGCAACGCCGCGUGAAGGAUGAAGGUUUUCGGAUUGUAAACUUCUUUUAUUAAGGACGAAACUUGACGGUACUUAAUGAAUAAGCUCCGGCUAACUACGUG